ensembl:lncRNA
GGCGAAGGAUGUUUGUGAGUUCGUGGCUGCCUGCUCUGUCUGUGCCAGGAGCAAAGCUUCCCAUCGUCCUCCUGCUGGUCUGCUGCGUCCUUUACCUAUUCCCAGUCGCCCUUGGUCACAUAUUGCCGUGGAUUUCGUCACCGGGUUACCCCUAUCCGAAGCCCAGGAGGAGGAGGUGGCAGUCUCUUCAGUAGACGAGCAUCUUCGGAGGAUUCGGGAAGUUUGGAGUAAUGUGAAGGCGGCACUCACUCGCUCUGCC